UUUCCACAGUUGAGACAGUGAGCACUUGGGACUGGAAGGGACCCAGGCCACAUGUGUCCCUGGGCCUCAGCUGACAAGCAAAUGUGAAUGUUCACCCUCUGCUCCUCACCUGUAGGGAGAGCAGGUGUCUGAGGGUCUGAGUGGCUCCAUGUCCUUUCUCCAAUUGCCCUUUCCUGGGGCCUGGGGCCUUAGCACCCUGCUCCCCACUCUGUCUGCCAAAUUCCCUGACUUGUGUUUUCAGUAGGUGGGGGCAUGGGAAGGGUGUGAAUUUUCCUUCAAUGUCCUGUUCGCCUGAUGUAAAAUGAAGGCUGGCUUGGGGAAGCCUGCAGGGCACGGCAGUGUUUCUGACCUCGGUUUGAGAAGCUCUGAGAGAGGACACUGCGGCUUGGUGGUCCUGCCCAGGAAUCCCUGGGUUCCUGGGUGGUCUCUGCGCUUGACUGCCUUCCCCCACAUUUGAGAAAGAGGUUGGAGGGAGUGGGGGAACCAGGGUACCCUAGGACACUGCUGAAAGACGUGGUGGCCUCAGGACCCCUCUGGCUUACUAAGCCCAGGGGCAGUGGGACCCAGAACAGCCAGGGCUGAAAGCGUGGGAGGGAGGGUGAGGAUGGGGAGGGACCCUCCAAUCACCUCUCCAACGCUCUCCCCUUUGCUUGAUAGCUGGCUCUGGAUUCAUUCCACAAACAUUAGCCAGUACACACUCUGUGCUGGACCAGCCUGCGGUGGCUUACCAAUCCAGAGACUGAUUUGCAAGCAGGGCCUUGUGGAGUCCCCAUGAAAUAGCUCAGACGUGAGCCUAGCACACAGUAGGCGCUCAGUAAAUAUUUGUCUAAGGAAUGAAAGGAGGCAUUGCCAGCAGCAUC